rnacentral:lncRNA from 1 species
GAGGCAUAAAACCCUAUGCUGUGUGCUUACUAUUCCAUCCUCCUAAAGUUCAAACCUGCUCUGGGGCAAGGAUGGAUUUAUUCCUCCCUGGCUGGUCCCCUCCAAAUCCCACACUAAUAACCAAAAAUAGCAACCUGGAUUAUAGAGGGCAAAUUCUGACUUGCACUGAAACCCUGAUAUGCAGGGUCUUUCCUCAUUUCUUUUACCUCAUCUUCUCCCCAACUCACCCUGAAAUGGCCUUCCCUUUUUUGGAGGCUCUUCUGUAAGUCUUUUACACUGAUGUUCACUGUUUCUUUAAAAUCCCAAGUCAGAAGCAGCAAGCAAAUGAGGCACUGUCAGCUUGGGCUGUAUGGUUCAGUGACUUGGCAUUAAUGACGUUUAUUUUGGAACCUGAGUGAUGGUCUGACCUAUUUUAGGAUCUCUGCUUUAACCGCACCUCCCUUCCCUACUUUUCCAAUAGAAAUGAAGGCAAAAGGGAUCGAGGGGAGGUUGGGGAGAGGAAGGGGGAAAACUUGGAGCUCGGUGCUCUAGGAGUUAUCUCUGAAGCUGCCCACACUGGUCAUAACAGUUCACCCACCGUCAUAAAGGCUGGAAUUCAGGGCUGUGUCCACAAAAUGGGAAGAGAUUCCAGAGGCACCUCUCUGUCCAGUUUCUUGGGUGUGGCCACAGGAAAUACACAAACCAUAGGCCACAUUUGGUAUUGUUCCGCGUUUUCCUCUGUGGAAAAACCUGUGCGUGAUCGAAAUGAUCUCCUUCUUCCAAAGAGCAGAGCUCUCCGGAGGAGGGGAAGGAAGGGAAGGAGGAGGGGAAGCAAGUGCAGGCGAAUAGCCAACUAUGCACAUUUCCGGAGAGUAGGGAUGUAAAACAGAUGUUGUGCAGGAAAAUAAACCAUUGCCCUGGGAGCAUCAGCAUCAGCCUCUGGAGAACAGGGUUUCUCAGAUGCAGGCAAAUAACACAGAAUGAGGUGUUCUCACUCACAUCAGAGCUCCUUCCCUGCGAUGGAGGGCGGGAGCAACAAGACCUGAAACUCCAAGAGGGAGAUGGUGGCUCUGAGCCCUUUCCUACUGGUUCCAAUGGAAUGAAUGCGAGAGUUAUAAGCAAGCAAAAGGACCCAGGCCACUGGGUGGAGACCCUAACAAAACAGCAGUCUGGGAGCGAGGAUCCCACACGUCUACCUUACCACUGGCCCUGUGGUCCUUCUUGCCGUCAAAGAGGAGCUGGCAGCAGGUUUCAGGCUGAACAAAAGAACCAGUUUAAACUACAACAAAGAAUUGCUUCAAACCUAAUGAAAAUCAGAGGCAAAGACAAAGAGAGAGCAUCUUAUUGGCUGAGCAGAAGUCACAUGCCACCAAGGGGCCAAGAUAAAGGUCUCCGUUUUCCAUAGACAGUGCCCUUCAAUCCUCCAGCAUCAUACUCGGAAAUCCAAGAAGAUAGGAAGGCAUGUUCUAGGCUAUGAAUUUCUCUCAGAGGCCAAAACUACGGAAAGCAAUGUGGAAACACUUUGAAAAGAGUGAGUUUACAGAAGAAAUCACAUGAGCAGGUUUGAAAAGCUGCAAUUCCUGGACAGAAAAACCAACCAUGGAAUCUAGAAAAGCACUCUUAUUUGAAGAAAAAG